GGUGUCCUCAAGUCGAUCUGAUUUGGGCGCGGCCAGAUUCACGGAGAAGGCGGACGACGGCAGGCGAUUCUCCUCCGAUUGACGCAGCUCUUGGUCCAUCAGUAGCGAUUGCAGGUCGACGAGCGUCAUAGAUGGGUCAAAUCGCGUGGUGACGGAGUUUGAGAACGCGGAGUACUCUGGACCUAGACCGCCGAGCACCGUGAUUACUUUGUCCGCCU
rnacentral:lncRNA from 1 species